GUGUCUCCAAGAGAGUAGAGCCUGAUAUCCUAGAGAACAAUAAACAAGGAAGUUACAUUUGGUCAGGAAUGUGGGUAUAAUAAAGGAACUUUCCCCACAGUAAGUUAAAGUCAGUAAAUUUGAAAAAAGAGUGCCUUUUAGGCCUUGCCCGCAACAUUGUUUGAUUCUUACUGGCAGCUGUGCACCCUGUGUUUUCUCUCCCCUUUCCAAAAUGUAAGUUUUCUACUCUGGUUAUAUUGUCAUUGUACACAGGACUGAUAGUUUGUCCUUUAUAUCAUACUUUUCAAGACCACAACAACUGGGUCCAGCCAUAGUAGAGAACUACUCAAUAUCCAGAGAUCUUGAAUGGUCUUUCAACUAUCUAUGAGCCUGAUGAGGAGCUUGAUCUCAUGAACAAUGACCAUGACCAGAGCUGAAAUCCAGAGUCAGAUGCUUAACCAACUGGGCCACCCAGGGGCUCCUGUUAUCCAUCUCUUGAUCCCAGAGGAAAUCUGUCUUUUAUUCCUCUUGGCUUGGAUUUCCUCUGUGUUGGCUUCAUUGGGGUAAAGAUGGCAAAUGGCUGACUCAGGCUACAACUCAGGCUUUAAACCUACACAUUCUGAUGUCUUUCAGGCACUAAUAUGGGAUUGAGUUUGGCCUGAUACGGCAUUCUAUCUCCUAGUACCAUCAUCCAUAUGUCAUAUGAAAAAUAGAAUUGACUUUGUAUAUGGUAUACUUUGUUUUUCCUGUAUAUAAUUAAUGAUGUUCCAACAUCAUCUGCUGAGUUAGAUACAGAAGAGUUUUCCUACUGAUUUGUAAAGGCAUUGCUACCAGACAGAUGUUCAAAUGGGAGGCUAUGAAUCAUGCCUUUCUAAUCUGUUUAUUGUUUGUCUACCACUGUCCCAUCAUCACACAGCUGGUAUCCCUAAGCGUCUUAAUAUUUGACAGGAUGAAGUGCUCCUCCUAUUGCUACAGCUUUAAAUUUGUCUCUGCUAUGCAUUGCCCUUCAUUAUUCCACAUGGGUUUGUAGUUUACUUGUCAGCUUUGCAAAUCAUUUUUGGGAUUUGGAUCAGAAGCACAUCCAAUUUAUAGAUUAAUUUGCAGAACAUUGACAUUCUUACGACAUUUAGUCUCUCCCACGAUGGGUACAGGAUCCAUUUCCUGUUUUGCAUAUUAGUGUGCACUUUUAGUAGUGAUAGUUGUAGUAGUAGUAAUGAUAACAACAACCAGUUGCAUGGUGGACACUGUGGCAGACGUUGUUCUCAAUGUUCUGUCUGUGUAUCAACUCCUAUAUUGCUGCUGGUGGGAAGUAUUAUCUACGUUACACUAAUGAUGAAACUGAGGUACAGGGAACUUAAUGACAUGUGCUGUUAUUUAAGAGGAAGAGUUGAUAUUUGAACCCAUGCAGUGUGCCUCUUCACUAAGAUCGGAUAAUGCCUCCCUAAGAACGUGGAUCUCCUUUUUAGUGAUUCUACCAUUGGUUUAGUACCUUAGAUUUUCUCAUUAAAUAAUAACACUUUAUGUGCAUAACUGCAAUAAAAGUAUUGUUACACCCCCA